UACAAUUGUCUUGAGAUGUGUGGGAAGCCAGGGCAGCAGAAGACAACAGGUGAAGCAGGAGCAAAGGAACACCUGCCCCUGCUGUGAAGACUGAAUUCAAAAAAAGGAAUUCAAAUACUAUAUAGUGUCCUGAUUUUUCUGUAAAAAAAUAACAUUUACUUUUUUUUUACUUUUGCACAGUAAAGGAAUUUUAAGAUUUUUAAGGAUGAUCAAAGUUUGCACUUCUUCCAACUCCAUAAAGUUCGAUGCAGAAAACUACGUACACUGAGCAAACUGAUUGCAAUUUCUUCUGCUGCUCAGCUCCUCAAGAGCACUCUUCAGCUUCGUAGACAGUUCAGCCUUUUGCCUGAAUGUCUCUUUUGUUUUAAUCCUUAAGCAAUUAGCUACUCCCGAGUAGUUUCUAUACCCUUCCUCCACAACAUCUUAAUGGUCGUCACAGAGCAAGAUGGGAAGGGAAAAAAGUCCUCAAAGGGAUGGAACAUCCACAGCUUUUCCGGGCGAUCUGUUCCAGUGCUUCAAGUCACUUUUGAAGAACCAGAGCCUCAAGACUCAUUUGACUGAUGGGGCCUGGGGAAGGUCUUCUGUGACAACAGGAAAUGCUUAAGCUAAAAAGAUAUGAAAGCCUUCACACAUAUGUAGCUAUAUGUGUAGAAGCAUGAUAUAUGAGGGAAAGAAUUAUAGAAGAAGAAGGGAGCGAAGCAGAUCUGCACAGAUGUCUUCUCAGUACUGCUCUCCCAGUCAUUCCUACAAGAUCUGUUAAGAUAACGAAAAUCUAUGAAUUCCUUGAGAAUCUCUGCCAUCUAAUGAGGAAAAUUCACUCACCAAAAGAAAAGUUUAUUUCCUGUUAUUUGUAUGGAAAGUACCCUCAGAGCAAAACAUGUGUUAACAUAUAAACACAAUGCAAUGAAGAAAACAGCUAACAUAGUUGACAUUGUAGUUCUUGGGCAAUGUGUUUACAGUAAUUCUUUUGAACAUACAUAAGUGCAUACUAAUAUUUUUUUACUAGGAGCUAUGCUUGCAACAGUAGGUGUUAAAUUUGAUUUAGCAGAUAAAAUAUCUGAUUCAGCAGGUAAUACGUUUCAACAAGUAAAGUAGCUGACUCAACCUGUGAAGUAUCUGGCAGUGUUUGUUUUUUCUAAUGGUUGGUUUGUCCAUUUUAGGAUGAACUUUGUUCAGUUCACCAUACGGCACAUUGAUUUCAGCACAAGUUAAAAAUUUUACUGGAAAUGCAUUUUUCAGAGUGUCCAUUUACAUGUAUACAACUCUUUUGACAGAAGAAGUGAUUUUUUUUUUUUCAGUUUCUAAUAUACUCUUAUUGUAUUUUUUUCAUUUGCCAAAAGUACCCUGAAAUCUCAAAAAAAAGACUUUUUUUUUUUUUUUGAGACAUGUCAU
ensembl:lncRNA